UACGUAGGCAGCAAGCGUUGUUCGGAAUUACUGGGCGUAAAGAGUGUGUAGGCGGUGUUCUAAGUUUGGUGUGAAAUCUCCCGGCUUAACUGGGAGGGUGCGCCGAAAACUGGAAUGCUAGAGUAUGGGAGAGGUAAGCGGAAUUCCUGGUGUAGCGGUGAAAUGCGUAGAUAUCAGGAGGAACACCGGUGGCGAAGGCGGGUCUCUGGGCCGAUACUGACGCUGAGGAGCGAAAGCGUGGGGAGCGAACAGG
rnacentral:rRNA from 1 species